ACUGUCAUGGUGAGAGAGGGUGCAAUGUGGGUAAAUUUCUACCUGGGAACGGUAUUGAAAUUUCUUUUGAAUGCAAUGUUUUUAAUUCUAAGGUUCAAUUUUAGUUUGAAGAAGUGGUCUGCCCAUGGUUGUCAAAAUCUCUUUGAGUUUUUUAGAAGGUCAAAGUUUCUAGCAAAUAAGGAAGUGUUUAAUUUAAACAGCAAAGAAAAUAUUGGACAACUACCAAUUCAACAAAGAUCCAGCAAUUUAGAUAUUAACAGGAAUAGCAUGUAUCAUUAUGCAUUGUCAUUUUAGACAUCUGAUCAUUUGUAUAAUUAAAAAAAAGAAAUAUCUGUAUCAUUGUUUAAGUGUUUAUAGAAAUAAGAUCAUGUGGUAUGAUUGCCAAUGAGACAACUCUCUACUAGAAACCAAAGUAAAAUUUAACAAGUAUAGGUC
rnacentral:lncRNA from 1 species